GUUUUUCCCUUACAUCUACCGGGUGUGGGAACUCACCCAGCGCAUCCGACUGCACAAUGAAAAAAAGUAGUUUUCCUUUACAAUGAGGCUUGGCCCCCAGGGCGAUGGUGCCACAAGCCAGAUCACUGGGACCACUCAGAGAAAGGGAACACAGAAGCCUGGCAUGCCAGCAAAAAGGGUUUUUGUGAGCAGUGUCUUGCACCAAACUCCUGUCUCCUCCUGUGACUUAGAAUGCCUAACUUCCUGGGAAUGCAGCACAGGUCUCAGCCUCAUUUUGCCCAGCCCCUAUUCAAGACGGAUUUGCUGUGGUUCAAAUGCUUCUGACAAUAUUCCUCAUGGUGAAUGCUGGAUUUUGCAUGCCCGAGGCCCUGGGCCACACUGUAUGUUUGCUUUUUGCAAGGGCUGUAUGGCUAUGACUAGUUAUGUGGACCCUGCAUUCCUAUGUAAAUGACCCUCCAUAAAAACCCCAGAAAUGAAUGCUUGAGUGAACUUCCCUGGCUUGUAUUAUAAUACUGUGAACAUCUUGUCACACAUCUUUGCUGGGGGAAUUAAGUGUGUCCCUAUGUGACCGUAAUGGGAGAUAACACCCAGAGUUUUGUGCCUGCUUUCAUGUGGACUUCAUUCUAUGUGAUUUUUCCCUUUGGUGAUCCUGGUCUAUAUCCUUUUAUUGUAAUAAACUAUAACCAUAACAG
rnacentral:lncRNA from 1 species